AGCCUGAUCUAGCCAUGCCGCGUGAGUGAAGAAGGCCUUAGGGUCGUAAAGCUCUUUCGCCAGGGAUGAUAAUGACAGUACCUGGUAAAUAAACCCCGGCUAACUCCGUGCCAGCAGCCGCGGUAAUACGGAGGGGGUUAGCGUUGUUCGGAAUUACUGGGCGUAAAGCGCACGUAAGCGGAUUAGAAAGUUAGAGGUGAAAUCCCAGGGCUCAACCCUGGAACUGCCUUUAAAACUCCUAGUCUUGAGUUCGAGAGAGGUGAGUGGAAUUCCAAGUGUAAAGGUGAAAUUCAUAUAUAUUUGGAGGAACACCAGUGGCGAAGGCGGCUCACUGGCUCGAUACUGACGCUCAUGUGCGAAAGUGUGGGUAGCGAACAGGAUUAAAUACCCUGGUAGUCCACACCGUAAACGAUGAAUGCCAGUCGUCGGGUAGUAUACUAUUCGGUGACACACCUAACGGAUUAAGCAUUCCGCCUGGGGAGUACGGUCGCAAGAUUAAAACUCAAA
rnacentral:rRNA from 1 species